rnacentral:rRNA from 1 species
AAACUGAAGAGUUUGAUCAUGGCUCAGAUUGAACGCUGGCGGCAGGCUUAACACAUGCAAGUCGAGCGGAAACGAUGGGAGCUUGCUCCCAGGCGUCGAGCGGCGGACGGGUGAGUAACGCGUAGGAAUCUAC